CUCCUUGUUGGUUGUGUGGGGCUGGUCCUCGGCAGUCACGGCCACCUGAUCAGCAUGCAGGGGCUGUAGGAAAGUGAUGGAGGGGAGUCUCCUGCUUUUCCUUCCUGGAGAUGUGGAGCGGCACGUGCCAGGCAUUGGAAUGAGGCUGACUCGGACUCGGACAGGACGGGAGCGGAGACAUGCAGGGCUGGUGGGAUUCUACAUCAUGCAGGACCAGAAGGAUGCGAGGUCAUGCUCCAUUUAUGUGUGAUGUGUCCAAGUGCAUUUUACGUCGUGGCAUGCAGAUGGACAUGAACUGAGGUGGUGUCACCUGGACGUUCAGGACGCCGUCUCCCGUGACUGACUUCAAGGCUGUCAUCGUGGACACGGGUAUCCAAAGUUGCUGCUGUGACGGAGCACACUUGAACGCACGCACACUCCAAUGCCUUUCUCUGUCCCUCCUCUGGCACGAAAGGCCCGUAACCUGAAAGGGUCACCGUAGGGGUUAAGUGGUGUUUCCUGGCACCCGAAGAAACGGGAGUGGCCCUCGCGGCUGUCUCUGAGCCUGGGCAGCUGCGUGCACCAUGUGCUGAGACACCGUGCUGGGGAGAGACCACAGGGCCUCCUUGUGCAAGUGGAGCCAAGAGGGGGACUCUGCCAGCAUCUCACACUCUCGCUGCAGCCCUGUGUCCUGAGGGACCCCGAGUAGCCUGGCCACACAGUCGCCUUGUCCUCAGCUCAGGGCAGUUUGAAGAUGCCCCUCAUGUCCAGCUGUGCCGCAGGGUUGAUGCUAAGGUUCCAGCACAUUCUGCGCCUUGUGUGGUCAUUUGUCUUAAUGCAUCAAAACAAAAGGUCGUCGGGGACCCAGGGAAACCUCGGCUCGCUCACUGUCGAGCCUGGGCAGAAGGAACUGGAAAUCUGGUUCUCGGGGAACUCCACCCGCAGUAGACUCUCCCCGGUUCUCUGCCUGGCCACUCUUCUGUGCAGAUUGAUGCAAGGGUAAUGCAGUCACCGCCUCACUCCGGGGGCCCUUUUAAUUAGAGCGCUGUCUGCACACACCCUUCUCACUCACAGAUGGCCCCAUGCCGUCGCCGCACGUUAGAUUGUUACCAGUGACCAAACCCGGGGCUUUGGGAGGAUCUCUCCUUUGCAGAUCCUGUGGAGUACAGAGGACUGCUCCCGAGUCCAGCUUGUUCCACUAGUCCUCACGUGGGUUCACACGCAGAGGCUUUGAAUUCUCAAUCUAGGGUUUAAAAAAUGUGAAUGGUUGUGAAUCAAACAGAAAAGAUCAAACCAGCCUUUCCUAUCCCUGGAUGCAACUGUGGGUUUGAAGAGUGAUGUUUUAGGCAGAGAUUAGUUUUCAGAACAUUCAAAGAUUCCACUGAUAAUAUUUGCAAAUCCUUUCAUAUGCAUGGAAAAUUAGCAACUAAAUCUGGCCAUUAAAACAUAAUCUUUAUUUGACCAAAGCAUGGUAUAAAAAUGGAAUAAACUGUAAUUUAUCUUAGCUGACAGCUAAUUACCUGCAAGUCUGAUUAAAGGGAAAACUAAAUUUA